GAUGAACGCUGGCGGCGUGCCUAACACAUGCAAGUCGAACGAAGCACCUUUUAAGAUUCUUCGGAUGAUUGAUUGGUGACUGAGUGGCGGACGGGUGAGUAACGCGUGGGUAACCUGCCCUGUACAGGGGGAUAACAGUUGGAAACGGCUGCUAAUACCGCAUAAACGCACGAGAGGACAUCCUCUUGUGUGAAAAACUCCGGUGGUACAGGAUGGGCCCGCGUCUGAUUAGCUGGUUGGCAGGGUAACGGCCUACCAAGGCGACGAUCAGUAGCCGGUCUGAGAGGAUGAACGGCCACAUUGGAACUGAGACACGGUCCAAACUCCUACGGGAGGCAGCAGUGGGGAAUAUUGCACAAUGGGGGAAACCCUGAUGCAGCAACGCCGCGUGAGUGAAGAAGUAUUUCGGUAUGUAAAGCUCUAUCAGCAGGGAAGAUAAUGACGGUACCUGACUAAGAAGCUCCGGCUAAAUACGUGCCAGCCGCCGCCGUAA
rnacentral:rRNA from 1 species